rnacentral:lncRNA from 1 species
GUGGUGGAGCUGGAGGAGGAGUUGGAGGUGGUGGUGGUCUCGGAGGUGGCGGCGGCGGCGGCCUUGGUGGUGGAGGUGGCCAUGGUGGAGGUUUUGGAGCUGGCGGUGGUGUUGGCGGUGGCGCUGGAGGAGGAGCUGGAGGUAAUGGUGGUUUUGGAGGUGGCAGCGGAGGCGGCCUUGGUGGUGGAAGCGGACACGGUGGAGGAUUUGGAGCAGGCGGUGGAGUCGGUGGUGGCACAGGGGGCGGUGUCGGAGGAGGCGGCGGGUUUGGUGGUGGAGGUGGCGGAGGACUCGGCGGUGGGUCGGGUCAUGGCGGAGGGGUCGGUGCUGGUGUUGGCGUAGGAGGCGGUGCAGGUGGAGGUGUCGGUGGUGGUGGAGGCUUCGGAGGAGGCGGUGGCUUUGGCGCGGGUGGUGGACUAGGACAUGGUGAAGGAAUAGGAGGUGGAGGUGGCGGUGGCGGUCUUGGCGGCGGACACGGGAUCGGUGGCGGCAUUGGAGUAGGAGUGGGGGUUGGUAUCGGUGUCGGAGUUGGGGCCGGUGCAGGCGGCGGUGGUGGACGUUGAGUCAUGGUUAGAGCUGAUCUCCCACUUUCAUUUCCAUUAUACUCGACUUUCAUGGAACUUAGUUCUGGUGUUUUGCUGUUCUUCCAAGCUGGGUGAGAGAGUGAACUUUCUAAUGAAAGAUUAGUAAGUGUCAAGUGUGUAAUGUUUCAAUUUGCUCGGGUGUAAUUCAGCUUCAGUUUAUGCAAUCAAAGUUAUAUUUGUUUCAGAAAUCUAAACGAAA